GAAAGAGUAUUUCCUUAGCGAAACGGGCCUGAAUGGUUUCGAUUAUUGUUGUGGGCUAGGUAUAAGCCCACAGUAUCAAUAUUGGACCGGGCUGGACACAUCCAAACUGAACUGGACCUUAACCCCCAAUUCACGGGCUUUCCAAAAGGUUUCCGGUGUAGCUAUAAAUAGCAAUAGCCUCAACCGCCGCUGUCAAUCUCUCCUCUGCAAUCGUUUCGGGUCGAAGACGGCUUCGAAGUAGACGAGGAAGUAGCGUUUGCCACUGAAUCAUCAUGAGAGCCAAGUGGAAGAAGAAGCGUAUGAGGAGGUUGAAGAGAAAGCGCCGAAAGAUGAGGCAGCGAUCUAAGUAACAGUCUUAAGGUUUCUGGGAGCUAAUAAGGAAUUGGGUUUGAUUUCUCAAAGCCUAAAAAAUAAAAGGGUUUAAGAUUGGUAGUUGUUUGUGGUACAGUUGAUGUAUGGAAUUUUUCUAAACUUUGCUGAUUAUGAGCGUUAGUGAUUUUGAGUGUUAUUGUGUCCACGUUCCAGUUGAACCUUCCCGGUGUUGUUUGGGCAAUUAUUUCUUGCAUGAUCAAAUAUCAAUAGAAUGUGUUUUGUUAUUCA